rnacentral:misc_RNA from 1 species
GAUGAAGAACGCAGCGAAAUGCGAUAAGUAAUGUGAAUUGCAGAAUUCAGUGAAUCAUCGAAUCUUUGAACGCACCUUGCGCCCUUUGGCCAUUCCGAAGGGCAUGCCUGUUUGAGUAUCAUGAACACCUCAACUCUUCAUGGUUUUCCGUGAUGAGCUUGGACUUUGGGGGUCUUGCUGGCCUAUGGUCAGCUCCUCUAAAAUAAAUCAGCUUCCCAGUGUUUGGUGGGUAUCACAGGUGUGAUAACUAUCUACGCUUGUGGUUUUCCACCAGGUAACCUUCAGCAGUGGAGGUUCGCUGGAGCUCACAGAUGUGUCUCUCCUCAGUGAGGACAGCUCUUUGAAUGUUUGAUCUCAAAUCAGGUAGGACUACCCGCUGAACUUAAGCAUAUCAAUAAGCGGAGGA